rnacentral:rRNA from 1 species
CCUACGGGGGGCAGCAGUGGGGAAUAUUGGACAAUGGGCGAAAGCCUGAUCCAGCAACGCCGCGUGAGUGAUGACGGCCUUCGGGUUGUAAACUUCUUUCUUAAGGGACGAUAAUAACGCUACCUGAGGAGAAAGCCACGGCUAACUACGUGCCAGCACCCGCGGUAAUACGGAGGUGGCGAGCGUUUUCCGGAUUUACUGGGCGUAAAGGGGGCGUAGGGGGACAUUCAAGUGAGAUGUGAAAUACUCGGGCUCAACUUGCGAACUGCAUUUGAAACUGGAAGUCUAGAGUGCAGGAGAGGCGGAUGGAAUUCCUAGUGUAGCGGUGAAAUGCGUAGAGAUAAGGAAGAACACCAGUGGCGAAGGCGGUUCUCUGGACUGUAACUGACGGUGAGGCUCGAAAGCGUGGGGAGCAAACAGGAUUAGAUACCCGAGUAGUC